UACGUAGGGUGCAAGCGUUGUCCGGAAUUAUUGGGCGUAAAGAGCUCGUAGGCGGUCUGUCGCGUCUGCUGUGAAAACUCGGGGCUUAACCCCGGGCCUGCAGUGGGUACGGGCAGACUAGAGUGCGGUAGGGGAGACUGGAAUUCCUGGUGUAGCGGUGAAAUGCGUAGAUAUCUGGAGGAACACCGGUGGCGAAGGCGGCGUCCUGGACCAACACUGACACUGAUGAGCGAAAGCCAGGGGAGCAAACGGG
rnacentral:rRNA from 1 species